UGGAGACACUAGUACAUUUCC
rnacentral:siRNA from 1 species